GAAUCUAAUAUAUCGUGCCAAAAAAAAAAGUACGAACAAACAGAAGUUUAGUACUGAUUUUCAGUUAGCAUAUUUACAUGAUUGUGUUUUGCGAACGUAAUAAUUAAUAUAAUUUUGUUGCCGUACAUAACAGGUAAAUCUAAAUUCGUCAUUAAACAACAAUAUAUAUAUAUAUUUCAAUUCGCAACAAGGCUAUUAUAACAUCGUUGAUAUAAGCUCUGUUGCAACAACCAAUUGCAGGAGACAAAGAGCGAUCCUAAUCGACCUCAACGGUUUGUGUCAGCGUAAUCAAAAUGCUGAAGUACGUCUGUGUGCUGGUCUUGCUGGGCUCACUUACCGUGCAUUCGAGUCCGGUGCAUCCUGAAGGCCAACAGCCUCUCGUCAAUGAAGAAAUCAUUACGGACAAUAACGAUGAAGUCGAACUAACCGUUCCACCAUCAGCGCCGGUGGUUCAAACCAGAGAAAAGAGGUUCGUCUACCGAUACCAAUGCCCUAUUGGCUACCACAGAACAGAUUUUUUUGGUAUUUAUCUUUGUGUAGAAGAAGACAAUUUAUUCUAAUGGCUUAUUUAAGUAUCGCAAAGAAUGUUUAGUAAGCUGGAUGUAUGGAGGUUAGAGUUAAGGAGGUAAUCAUUAUUUAUGGGAGAAAAGUUAAAAAAGUCUCCAAAUGUGUGCUAUAAAUAAAAGUUCAAAAACCACUGAAUGUAGCAGUGCGUGUGCGCUUGUUUUGCAAUGUUUGUCUUAAGCCUUCGUCAAACAGAAUGCGUAUUAGCGCGCGUCAGAGCGCUAAACUGACGCCGCGCUAUGACGCCGAGAUGUGUUGUAGUACUAUGGUAACAUACCGUCAAACAGAGCCCCAGCGCUAUAAGUACGCAACGAGCUGUCGCGGCGUUAGGACGCUUUGACGUCAGACGUUGUAAUUUUUUACAAAUUUUAUUUUAGCGUCCGAGUGUAUUAAAAUACUAGAUAAUGCCCGAAAAAAUGAUAUAAAUAGUUAGAAAAUACCCAUGCUUAUACAAUGCCACAUCUGAAUCACUCGAUUUCUUAACACUUUUAAAUUUUCACACUGCUAUCGAAAGGCACUAUGAUUUGGCGAAUGCGUUGCGUCAAGGAGCGUUAUAUCUGGUCAAUUUGAAGAGCGCGACGUUAAGUACGCGGCGCUAAGUACGCGUUCUGUUUGACGAAGGAUUUAAUGUUAACAAUAACUAUUAAAACUUCUAGAACGAUUACUCAUGAACAUUAAAGUUAUUUGUAAUUUUUUAAAGGUCCGCUUUAUUUGGUAUUAGCAUCAAUAAUUCGAUGUUUUUAAUUGAACUUUCAAUUAUGUUUAUCCCAUUCAAAUAUCUGAAGAAGUUUUCCGAUCAUCAGUACGUAUAUAUGUAUGUGUACAUAUAUGUAUGUGUAUUUCACUGGAUUGGUACACCGCGCGUAGUUCGUUUCCAAAUGAUUCUUGUCCACCUGAUGGUUGUCUGGAAGAGAUCGCUCUUAGCGAUACGGCCAAUUGUACUUUUUUGUUUUAAUGUAUCGCACUGUUUAUUUGGUUUUUGGUGUACAUUAAAGAAUACUCUCUCUCUCUCUAUAUAUAUAUAUAUAUAUAUUUUAGAUAUUUUUAACAUUAAAUGAUUCUCCUGCAAAGUUACAAAGUUGCUUAAGCCAAAUAACCUGUCGAUAAUAUAUUUUAUUUGUAUAAUGCUGUGUUUUCAAAUUGUAAUACUAUAAUUAGUUGCUAUAUUUUGUUUCCUGGUAACUUGAAAUGAGAUGUGACAAAACAAACACUAUAUAUAUAUAUAUCUCAGUAGCGGUGCCAGCGAUUCCAAACACAGAUUGAAUUUGUAUGUGAUUUUAAAUUGUAUGUUUGUUUGCUUAAAUUAAUGCAAAAUAAAAUUUUAAUGCAAAAGUU